UCUUCUUCUUCAGUCUUGGAUAUGAGUGAGUACUGCAAGCUUCUACAUCAGGACAAUGUCCAGCUGCAGAUGGAGAAAUCAAGUUCUGAAAAGAAGAUAGAUAAGGAUUUGGAACAAGCAUUAGCAUCACUUGAGGUGUCUCAUUGGUCUGAGUCUGAGAUCAAUGCAUUGAGGACUGAGCGAGAUGCGUUCGAGGAGGAGUGCGAUGACACUUUUAGGAAUUUUGAGGUGUUACAGAUUACGUAGGAAAAUUAAUUUAGCCACACCAUAUGGAUCAAGGAGCACUAACCGAAAUCAUGCCUCCAGCCAUGAAUGGCAAUAGGCAGCGCCCAAUCUUCGCCACGGGGAGAAUCUGGGCUAAAGCCCACCG